GCGGAGGGAGCGCAGGGAGCGCAGACUGAAACUGAAGCACAGACUGAUCCACGGCGAAUGACAGUGCAGGUUCGACUCCUGCCCCCGGCA
rnacentral:tRNA from 1 species